rnacentral:rRNA from 1 species
UACGUAGGGGGCAAGCGUUGUCCGGAAUCAUUGGGCGUAAAGAGCGUGUAGGCGGCUUGGUAAGUCCGCUGUGAAAGUCCAGGGCUCAACCCUGGAAUGCCGGUGGAAACUGUCAAGCUCGAGUCCGGAAGAGGCGAGUGGAAUUCCUGGUGUAGCGGUGAAAUGCGCAGAUAUCAGGAGGAACACCAAUGGCGAAGGCAGCUCGCUGGGACGGUACUGACGCUGAGACGCGAAAGCGUGGGGAGCGAACAGG